GGUAGUCCUAGCCGUAAACGGUGCUUGCUUGCUGUAGAAGGAAUCGACCCCUUCUGUGGCGAAGCCAACGCGAUAAGCAAGCCGCCUGGGAAGUACGGUCGCAAGAUUAAAACUCAAAGAAAUUGACGGGGCCUGCACAAGCGGUGGAGUAUGUGGCUUAAUUCGAUGCAACGCGAAGAACCUUACCUGGCCUUGACAUGCAUCUAGUAGGAGGGUGAAAGCCCGACGAGGUAGCAAUACCAGGAUGCACAGGUGCUGCAUGGCUGUCGUCAGCUCGUGUCGUGAGAUGUUGGGUUAAG
rnacentral:rRNA from 1 species